AGUGAACGCUGGCGGUAGGCCUAACACAUGCAAGUCGAACGGCAGCACAGUAAGAGCUUGCUCUUACGGGUGGCGGGUGGCGGACGGGUGAGGAAUACAUCGGAAUCUACUUUUUCGUGGGGGAUAACGUAGGGAAACUUACGCUAAUACCGCAUACGACCUACGGGUGAAAGCAUGGGAUCUUCGGACCUUGCGCGAUUGAAUGAGCCGAUGUGGGAUUAGCUAGUUGGCGGGGUAAAGGCCCACCAAGGCGACGAUCCGUAGCUGGUCUGAGAGGAUGAUCAGCCGCACUGGAGCUGAGACACGGUCCAGACUCCUACGGGAGGCAGCAGUGGGGAAUAUUGGACAAUGGGCGCAAGCCUGGUCCAGCCAUACCGCGUGGGUGAAGAAGGCCUUCGGGUUGUAAAGCCCUUUUGUUGGGAGAGAAAAGCAGCAGGUUAAUACCCCGCUGUUCUGACGGUACCCAAAGAAUAAGCACCGGCUAACUUCGUG
rnacentral:rRNA from 1 species